rnacentral:rRNA from 1 species
UGAGGAAUAUUGCACAAUGGGCGCAAGCCUGAUGCAGCGACGCCGCGUGUGGGAUGAAGGGGCUACGCCUCGUAAACCACUGUAGCCCGGGACGAAAAACGCCGUAGAGGCGUUAGACGGUACCGGGAAGGUAAGGGUCGGCUAACUACGUGCCAGCAGCCGCGGUAAUACGUAGGACCCAAGCGUUGUCCGGAUUUACUGGGUGUAAAGGGUGCGCAGGCGGAUGGGUAAGUCAGGGGUGAAAGUCUGCAGCUUAACUGUAGAAUUGCCUUUGAUACUGCUCAUCUUGAGUGUGGGAGAGGUUGAUGGAAUUCCAGGUGUAGCAGUGAAAUGCGUAGAUAUCUGGAAGAACACCAGUGGCGAAGGCGGUCAACUGGCCCAUAACUGACGCUCAUGCACGAAAGCGUGGGGAGCAAACA